UGCCAUCAACUAUUACCAUCAAUCAUCACUAUUGUCAGCCGCCAACACAACCAGCUACCACCCACAACCAUCACUACUAUCCACCACCAUUAUUAUUACCAAUCACCAUUGCGAUUCAAUAUCUAUAACCAUGACUGUAAGUCAUCACCCCCAACCACCAUAUAAAUUUAUUUUUUAUACUUUUUUGAUUUGGUAAUAAGAUUAAUUUGUAAUUUUAUUUGAAUUUAUUUGAAGAUUAAAAGUGCUUAAGCAGAUAUCAGAAUAAUUAAAAUUAGAAUUUCCCAAUAAUCUAGGGACAAAAAGUGUUAUUGUCCCUAUAAAAUAUAUGGGAUUGAGGAGUGUAAAUGAAAUGACAUGAAUAGUGAGAAUUUAUAACUAUUGUUGAUAGUUAAUUAUUGGAGUCAAGAAAAUUGUCAUAUAAUAUUGGAUAGAAAUAAUUAACUUUCUUUUAAUGCUUGGAGAAGAAAUAGUAUAGCGAGACAUUAGAAGAGAGGUGAAAGCUCCUAGUUAAGUUUCGAGGUGAAAAUAUGAAAGAGGAACGAGAACAUUAAUAUAACUCCAGAUCAUACAAUCACUCUGCAAAUAAUUUCUUUGGUUGGUAACAAAAUACCAAAAACAUUUCCAGUUCAGGAAAGAAAAACCAUAAUCAGACUACACUAUAAAGAAUUAAUUCAUUAGUAUCAAUCCCGGAACCAAGUGGCUUGCGGAGAAACCAACCCCCCGCCGCCGACAAAUCUCCGCCAGCGCCACCGCCGGAGAUGCCACAAAAUUGGUGGCCAAACAGGUGGAGAUGGUGGUCGUCGUGGUGGUGGUCUUCUUCAUCGUGCCUGCUUGGAGGAUGAUAGUACAUCCUCGAUGUUUGAGGGCAGUGGGAGUUGAAUCUGGCUGCCAUUCAUUCCAGCGUCUAAAAGCUCUAUGUAUUUCCCCAUCUCUCAAUUUCUUCCCAAAAUUCUCUGGGAGAAAAAUGAAAGAGAAAAGAAAAUCUGCUAAAAAUUAUCCCAAACGUCAGAGCCCAUUAAAAAUGGAGGAGGAGACUUAGAGAUGAAUGAAAAGUUAAACCCUUGCUUGCAUUUAUAUAGUUCCUUCUUUCCUACUUGAUGUUCCUUGAGCUUUCCUUUCACGCGUUUAUUUUAGUUCACUGAUUCUAAAAUAUCGGAGUAAUUUUAAUUUUCAAUGACCACAAAUACUUUUUCUUUUCUUAUUACCCUUUUAUCAAAGGAGAGAAUAUUGGGGAAAUAAUGAUAAACUGAUACUAAUAGAAUAUUUAAGAUUAACGUUUUUAGGGCUGCAAAUGGUGGCAAUUAUUUUAAUGCAAUAUUGGAAUAAUUCCUUGUCCCUUGAAAAACAGUGCGUCUCCCCUGCAAGUGGGAAAAGUCAACUUAGUAACAGCUCAUACAAUAAUAAUGUUGAAAUCUUACAUUUUGAUUUAAUUUUAAGCAAUCAAUUAAAACUAGAAUUAUUCGAACAGUCACUUGACUCUUCAAAUGGUUUGAGCUAUGAAGUUCUCAAAGAACGAAGAAUAAACUUUUGAAAUAAAAGAAGGAAACAAGUCUACUUGAAAAAUUAAUCUUUAGGUUUCCUAGUCAAGUGGUGAGCCAAUAAGAUUACUUCUAUAUUUUACUAUAUAUUUGUUUACCCUAAAAUAUGAGUAAAAAUUGUGGUUUUAAAGAUAUAUGAUUUAGUCCAAUACCAAUUGAUAAACAAGGAAUUAAAUGUCUAAAUUGAAGAAAUAAAGCAAGUCAAAUCAGUGUGCAAACCAAGUCUUGACCUCGAGUUACGGUGGCCUCGAGGUAUGUUAGCAAGAACAACAAAAUUGUAAGGCAACUCUGAUGAAUAGUAAGCAAGAAAAUGUAGAAUGUAUAUUUCUUUGUCAAUGAAUCGUGUGUUACAAAUGAAUGGGCUCCCCUUUAUAUAGUAGGGGGUCCUAAAUAAGGUACACUUCUAAUUACAGUAAGGAAUCUUAUAUGAUAGUUGUCUAACCGCCAAGUACAAAUUCGUUCCGGAAUUUACGCUGGGAUCUUCGGGCCGUUGUGGGAAUCUCGCUCUUUCUGUUAUUAAACCAUAAUGGUAUUAUCUCGAGGUUGGUCAUACUCGGCCUUGGUUUUCAACAAGCACUUCUAUCUUCAAGUUCUAUACUCCGCCAUCGGGCUCGAGCCUGGUUUGAUUUGAGCUUUCUCUCAAAGCAGCUCCCCGAGCCUAUGAAAUGGGGAACACCUGAUUUUGAUCGUAUAUAAAUAGUCCCCUCGUUUCUUAGAAUAAGAUGAUAAGAAACGGUUUGAGCCUCGAUUUUCCGGAGCCCCUGAUGAUGAAGUCAUCCCCGUGAUGUAAGCGCUCCAAGUAACCGAAAUAUCCCGUCGGUUAGCUUCCCCAAAACAUUAAAUGCUUGCCAGUAGCGGCCGGCCACUAGCGCCGUUGAACCGUCAUCGUUUGCUUAUAAAUACAAGGCUCCUUAUUUGAAUCAAAAACUUUACUUCCAUCUUCAAACAUCCCUAAUUUCUCCCCCUCUUCAUCUUUCUCUCUUACUACCUGUUAUUCCCACCCUUUUAACACCGAAAGAUCUCAAACUCCACCUCUUUCUGCUUCCUCUAACCUAAAUCAAUGGCAAAAACCUCCAAAACCGUUCCUCAAAAGGAGAAAGCUUACUCCUCCUCUUCCUGGCCGGUCAGCGAUAAAGCGCCGGCCCUUCACGAGAUUAUUCCCGACCCUUAUGUCAUAAAGAAAGACUUCAAAGUUGAAAAUACCCCUGCGAUUCCUGGCCAAUGUGAGCAUGUAUCGAGGUAUAUUUGCUCGAUAACGGAGAAGAACCUCGAGUCCAUGAAGAGGGAUUGUGGCUGGGGGAAUGAGGUCGUGGUACAAAUCCCGCCCCCGAGGAGAGUAUCACCACUCAUAUGGGGGGUUUCUAAGUGGUUACACUUACCCCUUCACACUGGGUUUCAUCGAUCAAUUCGUGAUCGGCUUUUGCAAGAGGUAUCAGGUCACCCUCAGCCAGAUCCACCCUUCUUUCUGGUGCAUAAUGAUCAUGUUUCGCUAUUUCUCCAGCAAGUCCGAGGGGCUAGAGUUCACCCUCAAUCAUCUUAUUUGAUUGUAUCGAUCUCAACUUUUCCAAGGGUAUAUCAAGCUCCAAUAUCAAUCGACCAAGGCCUUCUUUGCUAGCAACGACGAGGAUAAGGAUCGGGGAUGGAUGAGCCGGUUCGUGCGAGUGAGGACCUGCGACAUCAUCCCCGAGGAGAAAAUUCCAUUCCCAGAGAAGUGGAACCUCGAUCGUAAAGGAAUUUUUUUUCCGAGUAGCCUUUUGUAUUCCGUUUUUGCAUUGCGUGAUGCCUUGGUCUUUUUUGCAGCAGCUGCUUGGAUGCCCCAUGUGGUCGCCAACCUCGAAGACUGGGUUCGGAAACCAGUUGCGGCCUCCUCGUAUGACGAGCUCAGCUGGCGUGACAUGGCGAGGGGCAAAUGGAAAGCCAAACACCACAGUAAGUUCUUUUUGUAAGUUUUUGAUGCUUUCCCCUUUAUCGGAGAUGUUUCUUUACUCAUACCUCAUUUUCAUUCAUGCAGGCAUCGGAGAUAUCUUUGAAAUAAGGCCAACCCCGCCUGGGAAGGAGACCGAGUCCCCGAUUCCAAAAUCGGGGAAAGAUAAUAAGAGGAAAAGGGUUUCGAAGCCCGAAGAUCCCCAAGAUAAAAGGGGUCCUACUCGAAGAUGCAGGAGGAAUCUCAUUCCUGUGGAUAUAGAUUCAGUCCACCUACUGAAUAAUAAAGAAGAAAAUGAGGGUGAAGAUUCGGCGCUGGUGACCCGAGCCAGGAAGCCAGUUCAAGCUGCCAAGCCCUCCGAACCGGAGAUCCUGCCUCGUGGUGAUGAAGCUUCGAAGAAAGACGUGGGCAAAGCCCCCUCAUCGCCCGAGGUCGAGAUUGUUCCUCGGUCAUCAACAAGCACACCGAAGGGGACAGGUUCUGAAACCCCCAAGGCUGAACAGAAUGCCCCGAGUGAUUUUCUCAGGGCCAUGACAAUAGGUCACUCUCCCCCUCUACCGGAUUAUUCCGAGGAGGCCAUAAGGGAGGCUCGGGCUCUGCAAAUGCCUGACUUAAGCGGAGUACCCAGUGAAGAAGAUCCUUUUCGAGAUUGCUUUACCGGGGUCGAUGAUGCCGCCGAUCUCAAUGAUGCAUCUACCCUCUUUGAAGAGGCUCAAUGCCUUUUCUCUCAAGUGAGCAUUAAUUCCUAUCAUUGCAAUUUUCUUUUUCUUCUUCUCCCCUUACCCUAACUGAUAUCAUUUUUCUAUGUAGGCUUUCACCAGGUCUACGGCCGACUUGAGCCACUGCGAGGCCGAGCUCCAGAAUACCUUAGAUGAA
rnacentral:lncRNA from 1 species